UUGUUUCGUUCUUUUAUAUUCACUUUGUGUUUGCGUUCUAUUUUGGGAUGAAGAAUUCAACAAGUUGUUCAAGCAAUUUAUUUUUCAACACAAGGUUUCUGGGAUUAUAAUAUAGAGGGAAAAGAAAAGCGAAGAGAUGAUAGAAAUUCAUUUGUCUGUCAAUCCGCUGAUAUUCUUUGAUGUUAGUUCAUGGAUCCCAACAGGUUCUGAUCGCUUUCAUAUUUCCCUCUCUUGCUUGAUUUCUUGAUUUCUUGAGUUUCUCGAUUUGUUGAAUCAAUUAUUUAGGGUUUUUGAAUUGUUAUCAGAAUUGGGCAAAUGAUGAACCUGAAAUUGUGUAAAUGGGUAAUUUGCAUCUGAAUAUGGUUGAUGUUAAUAUAACCUUGGAGAACUGAUGCCCUAAAUUCUAUGGAUUUUUAUGUUUCUUAGUUUGUUUCUGUGUUUUGAUCCCUAUAAUGAAUCGGUCUUUGCUACAUGAAUGGAUCACUAGAUUUGCGAUUGAAUUAUAUUAUUAUUGUUCCUUAAUUGGCACUAAUAACACUGUCAUAGUUGAAUUUUGAGGGGAGGUAAUAGAAAUGUUGGUUGUGAUUGCGAGAGAUCGAAAGAAUCCUGACCCGAAUAACAUAAAUUUCAAGUUUAUUAAGUAGUUUUGGGAAAGCGUAUUUUCACAUAUUUAUGGCUGAAUUUCAUUUUAAUGGCAAAAUAGUGUGUUUAGUUAAUAAUGAUUUUUUAGAAUUGAUUACAAAGAUUGAGAAUUCUGUGGCGUUAAAACAUUCCAAUGUCAAAAUAGUGUGUUGAGCUAAUAAUGCGUUUUUAGCAUUGAUUCCAAAGAUUGAGAAUUCGGUGACACUAAACUAUUCUAAUGGAAAAAUAGUGUGUAGAGCUAAUAAUGCAUUUUUAGCAUUGAUUCCAAAGAGUGAGAAUUCGGUGACGCUAAACUAUUCUAAUGGCAAAAUAAUGUGUAGAGCUAAUAAUACUUUUGUAGCAUUGAUUCCAAAGAUUGAGAAUUCGGUGACGCCAAACUAUUCUAAUUGCAAAAUAGUGUGUAGAGCUAAUAAUGCUUUUGUAGCAUUGAUUCCAAAGAUUGAGAAUUCGGUGACGCUAAACUAUUCUAAUGGCAAAAUAGUGUGUAGAGCUAAUAAUGUUUUUUUUACCAUUAAUUCCAAAGAUUAAGAAUUCUGAUGGCAAAAUAGUGUGUAGUCAUAAUAACUUUUUUUUUCUUUGGUUCAUAUUCUGGUUUUCUGUUUGCAAAAUAGUGUGUAGUAGACAAGCUGUAAGUUAUAUUUUGUGUUGCUUUCGGGAGUAGUAUCUCAUGCAUGGGAUUCGUAUUCUAAUGGCAUAUAUUAUGCCUUGCAACUUUUUCUUGAAUUUAAUGUUACGACCUUUUAAAAAAAAUAAUUGAUAUUCAAUCAAUAUCCACCCAAAAAGCUAAAAUGGUUUUAUGUAAAACCAAAUUGUCAAAACAACAACUAUAAUGUCUGAACAUCUUGAUGAAUCUAGUUGGGCAAAUGAUGAAUCUGACAUGGUGUAAAUGGGUAAUUUGCAUCUAAAUAUCUUAAUGUUAAUAUCACCUUGGAAAAUUGAUGCCCUAAGUUCUAUGGAUUUUUUUGUUUGCUAGUUUGUUUCUGUGUUUUGUUCUCUGUUUUUUUGGAUCCAUGUAAUCUAAAAUGGCCUUAGCAUUAAAAUUAUCAUAGUACUAGAAUGAACUGGUUAUUGCUACAUGGAUGGAUCACUUGAUUUGUGAUUGAAUUAUAUUAUAUUGUCCCUUCAUUGGCACUAAUGACACUGCCAUAGCUGAAUUUAGAAAGGAGGUAAUAGAAAUGUUGGUUGUGAUUGCGAGAGAUUGAAGAAUCCUGACCCGAAUAACAGAAAUUUAAAGUUUAUUAAGUAGUUUUGGGAAAGCGUACUUUCACAUAUUCAUUGCUGAAUUUCAUUUUAAUGGCAAAAUAGUGUGUUGAGUUAAUAAUGCCUUUUUAGCAUUGAUUCCAAAGACUGAGAAUUCUGUGGCGUUAAAAAAUUCCAAUGUCAAAAUAGUGUGUUGAGCUACCAAUGCGUUUUUAGCAUAGAUUCCAAAGAUUGAGAAUUCGGUAACGCUAAACUAUUCUAAUGGCAAAAUAGUGUGUAGAGCUAAUAAUGCUUUUUAAGCAUUGAUUCCAAAGAUUGAGAAUUCGGUGACGCUAACCUAUUCUAUUGGCAAAAUAGUGUGUAGAGCUAAUAAUGCUUUUUUAGCAUUGAUUCUAAAGAUUGAGAAUUCGGCGACGCUAAACUAUUCUAAUGGCAAAAUAGUAUGUAGAGCUAAUAAUGCUUUUCUAGCAUUGAUUCCAAAGAUUGAGUAUUCGGUGACGCUAAAGUAUUCUAAUGGCAAAAUAGUGUGUAGAGAUAAUAAUGCUUUUUUUAGCAUUGAUUCCAAAGAUUGAGAAUUCAGUGACGCUAAACUAUUCUAAUGGCAAAAUAGUGUGUAGAGCUAAUAAUGCUUUUUUAGCAUUGAUUCCAAAGAUUGAGAAUUCGGCAGCGCUAAACUAUUCUAAUGGGAAAAUAGUGUGUAGAGCUAAUAAUGCGUUUUUAGCAUUUAUUCCAAAGAUUGAGAAUUCGUUGAUGUUAAACUAUUCUAAUGGCAAAAUAGCGUGUAGAGCUAAUAAUGCUUUUUUAGCAUUGAUUCCAAAGAUAGAGAAUUCGUUGACGCUAAACUAUUCUAUUGGCAAAAUAGUGUGUAGAGCUAAUAAUGCAUUUUUAGCAUUGAUUCCAAAGAUUGAGAAUUUGGUGACGCUAAACUAUUCUAAUGGCAAAAUAGUGUGUAGAGCUAAUAAAGCUUUUUUAGCAUUGAUACCAAAGAUUGUGAAUUCGGUGACGCUAAACUAUUCUAAUGGAAAAACAGUGUGUAGAGCUAAUAAUGCUUUUUUUAGCAUUGAUUCCAAAGAUUGAGAAUUCGGUGACGCUAAACUAUUCUAAUGGAAAAAUAGUGUGUAGAGCUAAAAUAUGAUUAUUAUUCCAAAGACUGAGAAUUCGGUGGCGCUAAACUAUUCUAAUGGGAAAAUAGUGUGUAGAGCUAAUAAUGCGUUUUUAGCAUUGAUUCCAAAGAUUGAGAAUUUGGUGAAUCUAAACUAUUCUAAUGGCAAAAUAGUGUGUAGGGCUAAUAAUGCUUUUUAGCAUUGAUUCCAAAGAUUGAGAAUUCGGUGACGCUAAACUAUUUUAUUGGCAAAUUAGUGUGUAGAGCUAAUAAUGCUUUUUUAGCAUUGAUUCCAAAGAUUGAGAAUUCGGUGACGCCAAACUAUUCUAUUGGAAAUAGUGUGUAGAGUUAAUAAUGCUUUUUUAGCAUUGAUUCCAAUGAUUGAGAAUUCUGUGGCGCUAAACUAUUCUAAUGGCAAAAAUAGUGUGUAGAGUUAAUAAUGCGAUUUUAGCAUUGAUUCCAAAGAUUGAGAAUUUGAUGAAGCUAAACUAUUUUAGGUCGAUAUCUUUAAUUGACAGCAUGUGGCUAAAAAAGUUAUCUUUGGUUUACAAUUUGCAGUCUUAAAGGGCCGACAUAUGGUAGAUGGAAUACUCAUAGCAAAUGAGUUAGUAAAUGAGGUUCAAUGUGGAUUUAAAUAAAGUAUAUGACUUUGUGGACUGGAAAUAAUUGAAUUUUGACAGGAUUUAACGUUAAAUGGAGAUGCUGGAUUUCAGAGUGUCCUUGAUUAUCAACUAUUUUAGUGUUGGUCAGUGGAAGUCUCACAAAAAAAUCUGAAGAUGGUAAAGUUCUAUAGCCUUUUUAUAUUUUUGAUUGUUUAGUUCCAUAGAGGUGAUGUUUCAUUUCUCGCAUAUGCAAUAUGCAAAUGAUACCUUAAUUGUCGGAAAAAGUUGGCAACACAUGAGGGCCAUGAUGGCAAAUUUACUGUUAUUUGAGUUAAUAUCCGGUCUUUAAAUAAACUUUCAUUAAAGUCUUUUGGUUUGAGUCAGAGGAAUCAGCAAAUCAAAUUUUAAGGUUGGAAAUACUUGGAUGUUUCUGAUGGUUGUAAUCAUAUAAGAAAGAAGUUAUUGAAAUUGGUGAUUAAUAUAGUGUCGGGAAGAUUGUCCAAGUGGAAUAAUUAGUGCUUAUCUACAUGUGGCCGAAUCAUCCUUCUAAACAUUGUUAUACGCAUUACCGGUAAAUUUCAUUUCUUUCUUUAAAGCUCUGUUAGGUAUUAUUUUUAAUUUGAUUCUCUUUAAAAAAUUCUUGUGGGUUGGAAGAUUGGAAAGCAUAAAAAUAAGUCGGGUUCAUUGGAAAAAGGUAUGCUAGGAAAGAGAGGAAGGGGGGAUCUAGGUAUAUAAAAUUCAAGGGUGUUCAACCUAACUCUAUAAGGAAAGUGUGUGGGUUAAGAUUUUAAAAAGUAAAUAUGGUGAAAUCUUUGGUAAAUUGAGUAAAAUUGAGAGAAUGGGGUCAGCUUGGUGGCAGGACAUAAAAAUAUUAGAAAGUGGGUCGUGGGACUUUAAAUUACAUUGGUUCUUUGAAAGGUUGUGCAUGAAAUUAGGAAGAGGAGUUGAAUCACAUUUUUGGACUCCUUGGAUAAAAGGAAUAAUCUUGAAAAAUAGGUAAGUGGUACAAAUUAGUUGAUAAUGCUUUUUUAGCAUUGAUUCCAAAGAUUGAGAAUUCGGUGACGCUAAACUAUUCUAAUGGCAAAGUAGUAUGUAAAGCUAAUAAUUCUUUUGUUAGCAUUGAUUCCAAAGAUUGAGAAUUCUGUGGCGCUAAACUAUUCUAAUGGGAAAAUAGUGUGUAUAGCUAAUAAUGCGUUUUUAGCAUUGAUUCCAAAGUUUGAGAAUUUGGUGAAGCUAAACUAUUCUAAUGGCAAAAUAGUGUGUAGAGCUAAUAAUGCUUUUUUUAGCAUUGAUUCCAAAGAUUUAGAAUUUUGUGGCGCUAAGCUAUUCUAAUGGGAAAAUAGUAUGUAGAGCUAAUAAUGUGUUUUUAACAAUGAUUCCAAAGAUUAGGAAUUUGAUGAAACUAAACUAUUUUAGGUCGAUAUCUUUAAUUGGCCGCAUGUGGCUAAAAAACUUAUCUUUGAUUUACAAUUUGCGGACUUAAAGGGCCGACAUAUGGUAGAUGGAAUACUCAGCAAAUGAGUUAGUAAAUGAUGUUCAAAGUGGAUUUAUAAAAAUAUAUGUUUUUGUGGAUUGGAAAUAUUUGGACUUUGAUAGGAUUUAACGUUAACUCGAGAUGCUGGGUUUUAGAGUGUCUUUGAUCAUCAACUAUUUUAGCGUUGGUCGAUGGAAGUCUCACAAAAAAAAUCCGAUGAUGGGAAACGUCUAUCGCCUUUUUAUAUUUUUGAGUGUUUAGUUCCAUAGAGGGGAUAUUCACUUCUGGCAUAAGCAGUAUUUUUGAGCAAAUCAAACUUUAAGGUUGGAAAUACUUGGAUGUUUCUGAUGGUUGUAAUCAUAGAAGAAAGAAGUUAUUGAAACUGGUGAUUAAUAUAGUGUCAGGAAGAUUGUCCAAGUGGAAUAAUUCGUGCUUAUCUACAUGUGGCCGAAUCAUCCUUCUAUUUCAUUUCUUUCUUUAAAGAUUUGUUAGAUAUUAUUUCUAAUUUGAUUCUCUCUUUAAAAAUUUCUUGUGGGUUGGAAGAUUGGAAAGCAUAAAAAUAAGUUGGGUUCAUUGGAAAAAGGGUGUUCAACCUAACUCUCUUGGUGGCAGGACCAAAAAAUGGUAGAAAGUGGGUCGUGGGACUUUAUAUUACAUUGGUUCUUUGAAAGGUUGUGCAUGAAAUUAGGAAGGGGAGUUUAAUCACAUUUUUGGACUCCUUGGUUAAAAGGAAUAAUCUUGAAAAACUGGUUAGUGGGUCUGUUUGAUUUAAUUGAGAAUAAAAGGUUUCAUUUAAGUAAUUGCUGAUUCAUUUGACUGAGAAUGAAGAAUUAUUCAUUUCAUUUGACUGAUUUUCUUGUAAAAUCAUGUGGCAAUUGUAUUUUAAAGUGACAUGAGAUUAUAGUUGUCUAAUGUUGCAGAGUUGACAAGUGAUAAUACAUAGAGGGAAAAAGAAAAGCGAUAUGAUGAUAGAAAUUCAUUUGUUUGUCAAUCCACUGAUAUUCUUUGAUGUAAUUCAUGAAUCCCGACAGGUUCUGAUAGCUUUCAUAUUUCUCUCUUGUGCUUGAUUUGUUUAUUUCUUGAGUUUCUCAAUUUUGCGAUGUAACUUUACCAAUUAUUUUUAGUUUUUGAAUUGUUAUCAAAAUUCGGCAGAACUGAUAGAUUUCAUGUUAAUUUGCAAAAGAUUCACAUGGUCCAAAUUAGAUGUGGCUCAAUAAUGAGUUGUAUUGGCAGAUUUAUAUUUUCAAAGGGAUGGUUAGUCAAAUGCCUAGAAUGUUUUCAAUAGUGUUUGGAUAAAACUAGUCAAUGUCCAAUUCUAAUUCUCGAGAAAAGGAGGAAUUGUGCACCAAAACCUUUCUGUGUACUCAAAUGUUGGAGUGAGUUGAAGUUCAGGGAUGGCGAUAUUCAUAUUGAAAGAAAAACUCAAGUGACUUGGAAAAAAGGUGAAAGUACAUCAUUUUCUGAAGAGGAGAUCAAAGACAAAAGAGUAGCAUCAACACAUUUACUUGAAAUAUUGAAUCUGAAUUGUGGCAUAUUGUGACAAAAAUCACGCUCAAAAUAGCUUAGAAAAGGGGAUGCAAAUUCAAAGUUCUUUCUCGGGUGCCGGGUAAAUAGAAGAAAAGUUAAUAAGAUUAAUUCGAUUAAAUAGAUUGGGUUUCAAGAGAUAAAGGGUGAAGUUUUCAAUUAUUUCCCAAGUUUAUUCAGAAAACAAAAGAGGGAAAGACUGGUUAUGCAUAAUUUUGAAUUUAAACACAUUAGAGAUGAUAAGCUUAGAGAGGAGGAAAUAAGAAAUGUUGUUUGGAAUUGGGAGAGUUCGAACAGCCCCGACUCAGAUAGCAUACAUUUUGGGUUUAUUAAGGAGUUUUAAGAUGUAACUAAAGCGGACUUUCAUAGUCUCAUUGUUGAAUCUCAUUCGAUUGGUAAAAUUGUGCAUGGAGCUAAAUAAAGGUUUUUAGCAUUAAUUACCAAGAUUAAGAAUUUGGUUAAGCUAGACGGUUUUACGUCGAUAUCUUUAAUUGGCAGAAUGUAGAAAGUCUUAGCAAAGCUAUUGACAAAUAAAUUUAAGGUUGGAAAUACUUGGAUGUUUCUGAUGGUUAUAAUCAUAUAAGAAAGAAGUUAUUGAAAUUGGUGAUUAAUAUAGUGUCAGGAAGAUUGUUCAAGUGGAAUAAUUAGUGCUUAUCUACAUGUGGCCGAAUCAUGCUUCUAAACUUUGUUAUACGCAUUACGUGUCUAUUUCAUUUCUUUCUUUAAAGCUCUGUUAGAUAUUAUUUCUAAUUUGACUCUCUCUUUAAAAAUUUCUCGUGGGUUGGAAGAUUGGAAAACAUAAAAAUAAUUCAAGGGUGUUCAACCAAACUCUAUUAGGAAAGUGUGUGGGUUAAGGUUUUAAAAAGUAAAUAUGGUGAAAUAUUUGGUAAAGUGAGUAAAAUUGAGAGAAUGAGGUCAGCUUGGUGGUAGGACAUAAAAAUGGUAGAAAGUGGGUCGUGGGACUUUAAAUUAAGGUGGUUCUUUGAAACGUUGUGCAUGAAAUUAGGAAGUGGAGUUGAAUCACAUUUUUGGACUCCUUGAAUAAAAGGAAUAAUCUUGAAAAAGAGGUUAGUGGUACUGUUUGAUUUAUAAUCGAGAACAAAAAGGCUUCAUUUAAGGCAUUGGUGAUUCAUUUGACUGAGAAUGUAGAAUUAUUCAUUUCAUUUGACUGGUUUUCUUGUAAAAUCAUGUGGCAAUAGUAUUUUAAGGGGACAUGUGAUUAUAGUUGUCUAAUGUUGCAGAGUUGGCAAGUGAUAAUACAUAGAGGGAAAAGAAAAGCGAUAUGAUAGAAAUUCAUUGUCUGUCAAUCCACUGAUAUUCUUUGAUGUAUUUCAUGAAUCCCGACAGGUUCUGAUCGCAUUCAUAUUUUCCUCUUGUGCUUGAUUUGUUUAUUUCUUGAAGAAAAGCAGGGGCUAUAUUGAAUCUAUUGUCAUUGUAUUUCGUCAGUCCUCUUCCAAAUUCAGAUAGAGAUUCGAGAACAUUGCGACUAGUCCGAUGAAACUCGCAAGUGCAGUAUAGCUCGAGAAAUGAGAUACAUGUCGCGACUGGUUCAAACAAGAUGAUGCAACUCAGAAGCUCGACACAGGAUGUGACUAUAAAUUGGAAGGACUCACAAUCUCCAAUACCCGAAUGUGCAGUUGCAUAGAGCUGCUGUGAAUGUCUUGCGUCACUCAAAGCUCCCAGAUCGGGAUGAAAUCGACUCACAAUGAAAACCAUAGUGGCAAUGUGAUGCCGAUGUCGACGAUAAAGUUUGUUAGGGCAGAUCUGUGAGUGGAGGUGAGACAUGAAUCCCCAUGUUAAUACUGCUGAUACCGCCAUUUGGAAGAUAAGUAUUUCUCACACAUUCUAUUCACAUAGUAUGAUUAACUAUUAUUUGUUUACAAUGCUUUGUUUGAUGAUCCAAUGUCAUAUAACUCAACUUACAAUGUCUAUGUGUUAUCUAUAUGUUGUGGUGUCGAUUUCUGUAUGUCUUGCAAUGCAUUUUGAUUUUAGAGUUACAUUUGGAAGAUUGUGAAAAUUAUUGGGACUAACAGGAUGGCUGGGAAAUCAAAUCAAAUAUCUCCUGUCUCUAUUCAUCUCAGCAUCUACCUGCCAAGUGUUGUCAAUUUGAUGCCGGUAGAUCUGCCUAUUUUAGCAAAGGUCGCAGUAGAGGGACAACCAGAAGGUUGUUUAUACUAGGAUAGUGGGUGAACUUAUACGCUAUUUGUAUGACGUGGUUAUAAGUUUGAUUACUACUUUUAAAUGUUUGUAGUAAGCAUCCGUGAUGACAACGACUACAUAUCGAGUCUCAUAGGAGGAGAAAUAAAGAUUGCAAUGAUCGGAAAUGACAAGUCAAGCUCUAAUGUCAUCAUAAAAGAGUCGGAUUGAAAAUAACAAUGACAGGUCAGCGUUUCUUUUGCUUCUGCUUCUCGAAUAUGAAUAGAAGUGUGUCAUCCUAUGUUCCAAUUACAAUAGCUUCAGAUGAUGGAGUAUCGAGGUGUCUUGGAAUUGGCUAAAGUAUAAAGCUCUUAGAUUUAAUUACCCUAUUGUUAAUUAGAUAUUAAAUCCAUUUGGUUGCUUACAAACUUACAAUGUUGAUGGAGUAUAGAGAUCAAUUCUAAAAAAUUACUGAUCGUCAAUACGUCUGUUUGGUCGUAGUUAGUGUUUGAAUUAUUAAGUAAUUCUAAUAUUUAUUCGCGUGGUUUGUUAGAAUGCUACUUGGUGUUGGUUUUCUAUCAACCUUGGUUGGUGGAGCUUAUUCGGGACAUGACCUACUAACUAUUUUUUUGGAUAAUCUUUGGAAGGAGCAUUUUUAUCUUUGCUGUAGUGCACAAUAGCCUAUUUUUCUUUGGCUCAUGUUCUGUUUUUCUGUUUGGGGAAUAGGAGGCGUGUAGGGGUGGACAAGUUGUAACUCAUAUUUUGUUUUUCUUUUGGGAGCAGUAUCUCAUGCAUGAGAUUUGUAUUCUGGCAUAUCUUAUGCCUUACACCUUUUCUUUAAUUUAAUGUUACCGCCUUUUCUAAAAAAAUAUUGAUAUCCAAUCAAUAUCCACCCAAAAUAUUGGUGUGAAACGCAUUAUGCAUUAUGAAGUUUUCAAUUUUUUCUUGAGUCUAUCUAGAGACAAAAAGAGGGAAAGACCAGAAUUUUGAAUUUAAAGGCAUUAGAGAUGAAGAAAAUGAUGUUCUCAAAGCUGAACUUAGAGACGAGGAAAUAAGAAAUGUUUGGGAUUCUGAGAGUUUGAAGUUCCUUGAUUCAUAGCAUAGAUUUCAGUUUUAUUAUUGAGCUUUAGGAUGUAAUUAAAACAGACUUUCAUAUUCAUUGUUGAAUUUAAUUCAAAUGGCGUAAUAGUGCGUUGAGCUAUUAAUUCUUUUUAUUCUUGAAUCCAAAGAUAAAGAAUCUAGUGAAGCUAAGCCAAUAUCUUUAAUUGACAGCAUCUAGAAAGUGAAGCUAGGCCAAUAUCUUUAAUUGGCAGCAUCUAGAAAAUCUUAGUAAUGUUAUAUGCAAAUAGAUUGAAGGUGAAGGAUAUAAAAGCUAUCUCUGAUUCGUAAAUCACCAAAUGCCAAAUAGGAGGAAAAAAGAACUGUGAACCCUGAUUCGCAAUUCGCCGUAGGCCAAAUAGGAGGAAAAAAAGAUGUUAAAAGUAGAAUUUGAAAAAGCAUAUGAAUUUGUCGACUAAAAAUAGUCCCAAAAGUCUAUGAUAUUUAUUUGUGUUUUGUUUUCUGUUUUUUAUCCAUCUAAUCUAAUCCAAAUUGGCCGUAUCAUUAAAUUUAUCAUUGUACCAGAAUGAAUUUGUCAUAGCUGGAUCACUUGAUUUGCGAUAGAAUUAUAUUAUAUUAAUAUUAUUGUUCCUUUAUUGGGAUUAAAUUCGUUGGUUGUGCAAGAUAUUGUGUUCUAGUUUUAAUCAUUUGCUUAUUACUUGAAGUCACAGACAACGUUGGAUCUAGUUCUAGGAUUGGUUUUUUAAAAUCUUUUUGGUUAUUUUAAGGGGCUCUGUUGAUUUUGUUAAAAUAUUAAGUGGCUGGCCAAAGUAAAAUGAGACUUAUAAGACUAAUCAAGGCGAUCAUGGUUUUGAUUAAUUGGUUUGGAUUAAUCAUUGUUGGAAAAAUGUUGCUAUGGAGUAAAUUGAUGGAGUUGAUCAAAUAAAAAACAGGUCAGGUGCUAGAUGUUGCGUGAUAGGAGAUUUUAACAGUUCUUUCACACGUGCCUCUUAAAUAGAAGAAAAAUUAUGAGAUUAAUUGUAUAGAAGAAAAAUUGAUGAGAUUAAUUGUAUAGAAGUAGAUGGAACAAAAUAGAUAGGGGUUCAUGAGAUAAAGGAUGAAGUUUUUUAUUAUUUCUCAGGUCUAUUUAGAUAGCAAAAGAGGAAAAGAUUGGUUAUGCAGAAUUUUGAAUUUAAACACAUUUGAGAUGAAGAUAAUCAUUUUCUCAUAGAUGAAUUUCGUGGAGGAAUUAAAGUAGACUUUCAUUUGAAUGGCAAAAUAGUGCAUGAAGCUAAUCAUUUUUUUUAGCAUUGAUUCCAAAGAUAAAAAAUCUGGUGAAGCUGGACCAUUUUAGGCCGACAUCUUUAAUUGGUAGCAUGUAGAAAGUUUUAAUAAAGCUAUUGGCAAAUAGAUUGGAGGUGGUGGCUAAAGUUUUCUUUGAUUUGCAAAAUUAUCUUUGAUUUGCAAUUCUAAUAGAUGGUAGGUGGAAUACUCGUAGCAAAUGAGUUAGUAGAUGAUGCAAAUAGGAGGAAAAAAGAAGUGUUGAUGUGUAAAGUGGAUUUUAAAAAAGUGUAUGAUUUUGUGGAUUGGAAAUAUUUAAGAACUUAAUGAUGGAAAAGAAAAAGGGAUUCAAUGAUAAAUGGAAAGGCCAGAUUUUAGAGUGUCGUCAAACUUUAACUAUUUCAGUGUUGGUCAUCAGAAGCCUCGCAAAAGAAUUUGAAGUUAGUAGAGAACUAAGGCAAGUUGAUCCUCUACUGCCUUUCCUAUUUUUGAAAGCAGCUGAAGGUUUUAACUUGCUAAUGUCAAAAGGAGUAACUUCCUAUACAUAAGACGAAGUAGUAAAUGUGUUAGAUUGUAAGGUUUGAACUACAACAUUCAAAUAUUUGGACAUUCCUAUGGGUGGUUAGGGUGGUAAUCAUAGAUGAAAGGAGUUAUGAAAACUGGUGAUUGAUGCAAUAUCGAGAAGACUGUCCAAGUGGAAUAAAUGCCGCUUAUCUAUUGGUGGUAGAAUUGUCCUUCUUGAAAUCUGUCUUAUACACAUUACUUCCUUAUACACAAUUUUGUAACUUCCUGAACUCUGAUUUAUUUUUCUACACUUGUGGCAUAAUUUCUUGUAAUCACUUAUCAUAUUUUAGGUAUGAUCUAUAAAUCAAGAGGAGAUAUCUCUUAGAUUAAGACAUUUGUUUAAAGAGUUCUCAUGAGUUGUAAAUGAUUAAAAUUGACUAUGUGUUAAAAAUUGUUUAUAGUUAAAUCCCAAGGUUUUCUCAUUGGCUAAUGGAUGCAAGCCUUGUUUGUUUUAGACUAAACUAGGCUAAACUCUAGUGAAAUGGAAAGAAAAUUUGAAGAAAUUAAAGAGAAAGUUCAAAGAAAUGCGCUGAAGUAAGAUUCCAAAGAUAAGUUGAAUUGGUGUGAAAUAACUUAUUUGGUAAAGGAAGCCUAUUCCUCAAUUUUGAUGGAAAGCACAAGAGAUGGUAUGAGGAAGUUUACAGCCGCGUGGAGUAAUCUGAUCCUGCUUAAAGUAUUGAUACUAGUUUGUAGAAUAUGGCAAAAUAGAGUCCCUACUUAAGACAACCAGGUUAAGAGGGGGGUUUUGGAUGAGUCUCAAGUUACGUAUUUGUUUGGAUGCGAAAAAAAGUUAUUGUUUCUCACAUUUUCUUCAGGUGGCUGAUAGUAUCUACUUUGGGAAAUUUUAGAAUGCAAUCAAUGCAUAAUUCAACUUUGGGAAAUUUUUGGCAGUUUAGGGAUUUGUUGGAUAACGGAAGGGGGGAAAAGAAGUUCAACAUUAUCUGGUUUGCUUGUAUUUUGUGUGUUUGGAAAGGUCAUAGUGAUAAGAUAUUUAGAAACAAAGACACCACCACCGAAGAUCGAUUGGAAACAAUUCAAAUGAUGUCUUAAAAUUGGCUAAAGUAUAAAGCUCUUAGAUUUAAUUAUCCUAUUGUUAAUUGGAUAUCAAAUCCAUUUGGUUGCUGUAAUGUUGAUAAAGUAUCGAGAUCAAUUCUAAAAAAUUACUGAUCGUCAAUAGGUCUGUUUGGUCGGAGUAAGUGUUUGAAUUAUUAAGCAAUUCUCAUUAUUCUUGUGGUUAGUUAGGAUGCUAGUUAGUGUUUGUUUUUCCAUCAAUCUUGGUUGGUGGAGCUUAUUGGGGACAUGACCUGCUGAGCAUUUUUAUUUUUUCUGUAGUGCAUAAUAGCUUUUUUUUUAUUUGGCUCAUAUUCUGGUUUUUUGUUUGGGGAAUAUGAGGCGUGUGGAAGUGGACAAGCUGUAACUCAUAUUUUGUGUUGCUUUCUGGAGUAGUAUCUCAUGCAUGGGAUUUGUAUUCUAAUGGCAUAUAUUAUGCCUUACAACUUUUUCUUGAAUUUAAUAUUACGGCCUUUUAAAAAAAUAAUUGAUAUUCAAUCAAUAUCCACCCAAAAAGCUAAAAUGGUUUUAUGUAAAACCAAAUUGUGAAAACAACAACUAGAAUGUCUGAAAUAGUUAUCAGAAUUGGGCAAAUGAUGAAUCUGAAAUGGUGUAAAUGGGUAAUUUGCAUCUGAAUAUCUUGAUGUUAAUAUCACCUUAGAAAACGGAUGCCCUAAGUUUUAUGGAUUUUUUUGUUUGCUAGUUUGUUUCUGUGUUUUGUUCUCUGUUUUUUUGGAUCCAUCUAAUCUAAAAUGACCUUAGCAUUAAAAUUAUCAUAGUACUAGAAUGAAUUGGUUAUUGCUACAUGGAUGGAUCACUUGAUUUGUGAUUGAAUUAUAUUAUAUUGUCCCUUCAUUGGCACUAAUGACACUGUCAUAGCUGAAUUUAGAAAGGAGGUAAUAGAAAUGUUGGUUGUGAUUGCGAGAGAUUGAAGAAUCCUGACCCGAAUAAUAGAAAUUUCAAGUUUAUUAAGUAGUUUUGGGAAAGCGUACUUUCACAUAUUCAUUGCUGAAUUUCAUUUUAAUGGCAAAAUAGUGUGUUGAGUUAAUAAUGCUUUUUUAGCAUUGAUUCCAAAGAUUGAGAAUUCUGUGGCGUUAAAAAAUUCCAAUGUCAAAAUAGUGUGUUGAGAUAAUAAUGCGUUUUUAGCAUAGAUUCCAAAGAUUGAGAAUUCGGUGACGCCAAACUAUUCGAAUGGCAAAAUAGUUUGUAGAGCUAAUAAUACUUUUUAAGCAUUGAUUCCAAAGAUUGAGAAUUCGGUGACGCUAACCUAUUCUAUUGGCAAAAUAGUGUGUAGAGCUAAUAAUGCUUUUUUAGCAUUGAUUCCAAAGAUUGAGAAUUCGGUGACGCUAAACUAUUCUAAUGGCAAAAUAGUGUGUAGAGCUAAUAAUGCUUUUUUAGCAUUGAUUCCAAAGAUUGAGAAUUCGGUGACGCUAAAGUAUUCUAAUGGCAAAAUAGCGUGUAGAGCUAAUAAUGCUUUUUUAGCAUUGAUUCCAAAGAUUGAGAAUUCAGUGACGCUAAAUUAUUCUAAUGGCAAAAUAGUGUGUAGAGCUAAUAAUCUGUUUUUAGCAUUUAUUCCAAAGAUUGAGAAUUCGAUGACGCUAAACUAUUCUAAUGGCAAAAUUGUGUGUAGAGCUAAUAAUGCUUUUUUAGCAUUGAUUCCAAAGAUUGAGAAUUCGGUGACGCUAAACUAUUCUUUUGGCAAAAUAGUGUGUAGAGCUAAUAAUGCAUUUUUAGCGUUGAUUCCAAAGAUUGAGAAUUCGGUGACGCUAAACUAUAUUAAUGGAAAAACAUUGUGUAGAGCUAAUAAUGCUUUUUUUAGCAUUGAUUCCAAAGAUUGAGAAUUCGGUGACGCUAAACUAUUCUAAUGGAAAAAUAGUGUGUAGAGCUUAAAUAUGAUUAUUUAGCAUUUAUUCCAAAGAUUGAGAAUUCGGUGGCGCUAAACUAUUCUAAUGGGAAAAUAGUGUGUAGAGCUUAUAAUGUGUUUUUAGCAUUGAUUCCAAAGAUUGAGAAUUUGGUGAAGCUAAACUAUUCUAAUAGAAAAAUAGUGUGUAGGGCUAAUAAUGCUUUUUAGCAUUGAUUCCAAAGAUUGAGAAUUCGGUGACGCAAAACUAUUCUAUUGGCAAAUUAGUGUGUAGAGCUAAUAAUGCUUUUUUAGCAUUGAUUCCAAAGAUUGAGAAUUCGGUGAUGCCAAACUAUUCUAUUGGCAAAAUAGUGUGUAGAGUUAAUAAUGCUUUUUAAGCAUUGAUUCCAAUGAUUGAGAAUUCUGUGGCGCUAAACUAUUCUAAUGGCAAAAUAGUGUGUAGAGCUAGUAAUGCGUUUUUAGCAUUGAUUCCAAAGAUUGAGAAUUUGAUGAAGCUAAACUAUUUUAGGUCGAUAUCUUUAAUUGACAGCAUGUGGCUAAAAAAGUUAUCUUUGAUUUACAAUUUGCAGUCUUAAAGGGCCGACAUAUGGUAGAUGGAAUACUCAUUGCAAAUGAGUUAGUAAAUGAGGUUCAAAGUGGAUUUAAAUAAAGUAUAUGACUUUGUGGACUGGAAAUAUUUGAAUUUUGACAGGAUUUAACGUUAAAUGGAGAUGCUGGAUUUCAGAGUGUCCUUGAUCAUCAACUAUUUUAGCGUUGGUCAGUGGAAGUCUCACAAAAAAAUCCGAAGAUGGUAAAGUUCUAUCGCCUUUUUAUAGUUUUGAGUGUUUAGUUCCAUAGAGGUGAUGUUUCAUUUCUCGCAUAUGCAGUAUGCAAAUGAUACCUUAAUUGUGGAAAAAAGUUGGCAACACAUGAGGGCCAUGAUGGCAAAUUUACUGUUAUUUGAGUUAAUAUCCGGUCUUUAAAUAAACUUUCAUAAAAGUCUUUUGGUUUGAGUCAGAUGAAUCAGCAAAUCAAAUUUUAAGGUUGGAAAUACUUGGAUGUUUCUGAUGGUUGUAAUCAUAUAAGAAAGAAGUUAUUGAAAUUGGUGAUUAAUAUAGUGUCAGGAAGAUUGUCCAAGUGGAAUAAUUAGUGCUUAUCUACGUGUGGCCGAAUCAUCCUUCUAAACAUUGUUAUACGCAUUACCGGUAAAUUUCAUUUCUUUCUUUAAAGCUCUGUUAGGUAUUAUUUUUAAUUUGAUUCUCUCUCUUUAAAAAUUUCUUGUGGGUUGGAAGAUUGGAAAGCAUAUAAAUAAGCCGGGUUCAUUGGAAAAAGGUAUGCUAGGAAAGAGAGGAAGGGGGGAUCUAGGUAUAUAAAAUUCAAAGUUGUUCAACCAAACUCUAUUAGGAAAGUGUGUGGGUUAAGAUUUUAAAAAGUAAAUAUGGUGAAAUCUUUGGUAAAUUGAGUAAAAUUGAGAGAAUGGGGUCAGCUUGGUGGCAGGACAAAAAAUGUUAGAAAGUGGGUCGUGGGACUUUAAAUUACAUUGGUUCUUUGAAAGGCUGUGCAUGAAAUUAGGAAGAGGAGUUGAAUCACAUUUUCGGACUCCUUGGAUAAAAGGAAUAAUCUUGAAAAAUAGGUAAGUGGUACAAAUUAGUUGAUAAUGCUUUUUAAGCAUUGAUUCCAAAGAUUGAGAAUUCGGUGACGCUAAACUAUUCUAAUGGCAAAAUAGUAUGUAAAGCUAAUAAUUCUUUUUUUAGCAUUGAUUCCAAAGGUUGAGAAUUCUGUGGCGCUAAACUAUUCUAAUGGGAAAAUAGUGUGUAGAGCUAAUAAUGCUUUUUUAGCAUUGAUUCCAAAGAUUAAGAAUUCGGUGACGCUAAACUAUUCUAAUGGCAAAAUUGUGUGUAGAGCAAAUAAUGCUUUUUUAGCUUUGAUUCCAAAGAUUGAGAAUUCGGUGACGCUAAACUAUUCUAAUGGGAAAAUAGUGUGUAGAGCUAAUAAUGCGUUUUUAGCAUUGAUUCCAAAGAUUGAGAAUUUGGUGACGCUAAACUAUUCUAAUGGAAAAAUUGUGUGUAGUGCUAAUAAUGCUUUUUUAGCAUUGAUUCCAAAGAUUGAGAAUUCGGUGACGCUAAACUAUUCUAAUGGCAAAAUUGUGUGUUAAGCUAAUAAUGCUUUUUUAGCAUUGAUUCCAAAGAUUGAGAAUUCGGUGACGCUAAACUAUUCUAAUGGGAAAAUAGUGUGUAGAGCUAAUAAUGCAUUUUUAGCAUUGAUUCCAAAGAUUGAGAAUUUGGUGACGCUAAACUAUAAAAAUAGUGUGUAGUGCUAAUAAUUCUUUUUUAGAAAUGGUUCCAAAGAUUGAGAAUUCUGUGACGCUAAACUAUUCUAAUGGCAAAGUAGCGUGUAGAGCUAAUAAUGUGUUUUUAAUAUUGAUUCCAAAGAUUGAGAGUUCGGUGAAGCGAAACUAUUCUAAUGGGAAAAUACUGUGUAGAGCUAAUGGCAAAAAUUUCUAAUUUGUUUAUCUAUAUGUGGCAUUUGUAUUUUAAGAUGACAUGAGAUUAUAGUUGUCUAAUGUUGCAGAGUUGACAAGUGAUAAUACAUAGAAGGAAAAGAAAAGCUAUAUGAUGAUAAAAAAUUAAUUGUUCUUCCAUGUAACUAUAGUAAUUUGAAUUGGUAAAGUUUUUAACUUUAUCCUUAAAGUUUAGUAUCUUUUUAUUUAACUUAAUUGGUUUCUGUUUCUGGGGUAUUCUUCUGGUGGGAGCUGGUUUUUAUGGUAGAAGUACUUGUAAUUGGGGUCCAUAUGUCUCUAUUAUAAGGUUGUUAUCUUUGAUAGUUAAAAGGGUACUUGUGUUUUUAUUUAAUGCAAGGUUAUCUAUAGAUAAAGACCUACUUAUUUUUGUUGCUUCUGAUGUUGCAACUGACCCAAUCUGACCCAAA